rnacentral:rRNA from 1 species
CCUACGGGGGGCUGCAGUGGGGAAUAUUGCACAAUGGGCGCAAGCCUGAUGCAGCCAUGCCGCGUGUGUGAAGAAGGCCUUCGGGUUGUAAAGCACUUUCAGCGGGGAGGAAGGCGUUAAGGUUAAUAACCUUGGCGAUUGACGUUACCCGCAGAAGAAGCACCGGCUAACUCCGUGCCGGCAGCCGCGGUAAUACGGAGGGUGCGAGCGUUAAUCGGAAUUACUGGGCGUAAAGCGCACGCAGGCGGUCUGUCAAGUCUGAUGUGAAAUCCCCGGGCUCAACCUGGGAACUGCAUUCGAAACUGGCAGGCUAGAGUCUUGUAGAGGGGGGUAGAAUUCCAGGUGUAGCGGUGAAAUGCGUAGAGAUCUGGAGGAAUACCGGUGGCGAAGGCGGCCCCCUGGACAAAGACUGACGCUCAGGUGCGAAAGCGUGGGGAGCAAACAGGAUUAGAUACCCGUGUAGUC